rnacentral:tRNA from 1 species
UGUUAUGUGGCUUAGUUGGUUAAAGCGCCGGACUUCCAGAUACGGAGUCGUGGGUUCGAAUCCCACCAAAACAA